rnacentral:antisense_RNA from 1 species
UGUGUGAGCGAGCUUGAUCGCGAUAGCGGUGUGUCAGUCAAAUGAAUUUGGCUGAUCCGACGCCAUCGCGAGCAAGCUCGCUCCCACA